CACACCUACCACAUACAUACACAGACACACACACACACAAGGUAUAGAAGUAGUACAGGGGCAUGAUGAGUAAUUCUGUCUAGAUGUUACUGUUAGUGGAUGUUCUUUAGUUAGCAAUGGUAAUGUGUUGAUGUGAAUGUAUCCAUCUGUCUUGCUAAAGUGCAGCACAGAAGGCUUUGCAGCCAGGUGUGGCCAUGGGACUAAAUUUUGGCUCCUGAGUUGUAAGGUUUGUUGGGUGGAAUUUCUGGGAGCGCUCUUAAAAGAAGCAAGUUCCUUUGUCCUUCCCGUUUUCCCUUCCUGCUGUCUGGAAUGCAAAUGUGAAGACAAACUCCUGCAGCUUUCUCAAACCGUGGAGUGCCAUUGGUCUCAAGAGACCAGACCGUGUUAGGGGCAACAAGCGAAUCAGAUCUUCUCCAUGGGCUGAAGGGAAACCUGGGCCUGGGCCUGGGCCUGGCACACCUUCCUUGAACUGAGGGAAAGUUUUGCCCUGACUAACGCCUGUUGCCAAUCUACCUCUUUUUUUCCCCUGCCCCAAAGCCCCAGUGCAUGUUUGUACGUCCUAGGUGUAAGUCGUUCUGGUUCUUCUAUGUGAGCCCCUGCCACACUAUGGCUACUGACACAUGAGUGGUGUGGUUCUGCGACAACGAAAUGAACCUGUGCUGCCAAAGUGGCAACUCUGCAUACUCACAGCCUGGAGCUCUUCUGAAGUCGUUGAUCCACAGCAGAUCAUUGCUUUCGGAGAAGAUAAAUUUUGCUACCAAAAUGGGCCAUCACAAAAGCAAGAUUUGUGAAUCAAGCUACUCUAAAUGGAUUUUUAACUAAGUUAUAUAUUAGUAAUUUCAACCUGCUUUAUAUACUCAUACCCUUAAAAUUUCCUUCCAGUGUAAUUAAAUGACUUUGCACUCCAAAUGCAAGGAAAAGUAUGUACUGAUAAUAACGUUGCAAAGGGGAGGUAGAAGGAUGAGGAAUAUGGCGGAGGCAGAAGAAAACUGCUAAGGUUACAGUUUCAAAAGACUUUCUAAUCUUUGGGGUGGAAAUAGCAGAAGUAUCCAGAUCUUGAGCAUUAGAAGCUUUCUAUUUGAGGUGCUCAGAACUCUGACACAGAUUACUCUGAAAAGUGUCACAUAUGCAUUCCCACAGGGAUUUGUGUAAAUCUCAUCUACACGAUCAAGCACUGUACAUGCAUAAUUUGACAAUUUCAAAUCUUAGCAAGAGUUAGGAGUACAUUAUUUUGAGUCAUAGCAUUUUUCCCUUAUUGAAUGUCAUCCACACAGCAUUAGCAGCUUUUGAGUUAUGGCUCCC
rnacentral:lncRNA from 1 species